UACGUAGGUGGCAAGCGUUGUCCGGAAUUACUGGGUGUAAAGGGCGAGUAGGCGGGUAUGCAAGUCAGAUGUGAAAUACCGAGGCUUAACCUCGGGGCUGCAUUUGAAACUGUAAAUCUUGAGUGAUGGAGAGGCAGGCGGAAUUCCCGGUGUAGCGGUGAAAUGCAUAGAGAUCGGGAGGAACACCAGUGGCGAAGGCGGCCUGCUGGACAUUAACUGACGCUGAGGCGCGAAAGUGUGGGGAGCAAACAGGAUUAGAUACC
rnacentral:rRNA from 1 species